rnacentral:rRNA from 1 species
CCGACACAGGUAGUCAAGAUGAGAAUUCUAAGGUGAGCGAGCGAACUCUCGUUAAGGAACUCGGCAAAAUGACCCCGUAACUUCGGGAGAAGGGGUGCUCUUUAGGGUGCAAGCCCAGAAGAGCCGCAGUGAAUAGGCCCAAGCGACUGUUUAUCAAAAACACAGGUCUCUGCUAAACCGUAAGGUGAUGUAUAGGGGCUGACGCCUGCCCGGUGCUGGAAGGUUAAGAGGAGUGGUUAGCUUCUGCGAAGCUACGAAUCGAAGCCCCAGUAAACGGCGGCCGUAACUAUAACGGUCCUAAGGUAGCGAAAUUCCUUGUCGGGUAAGUUCCGACCCGCACGAAAGGCGUAACGAUUUGGGCACUGUCUCAACGAGAGACUCGGUGAAAUCAUAGUACCUGUGAAGAUGCAGGUUACCCGCGACAGGACGGAAAGACCCCGUGGAGCUUUACUGUAGCCUGAUAUUGAAAUUCGGCACAGCUUGUACAGGAUAGGUAGGAGCCUUUGAAACGUGAGCGCUAGCUUACGUGGAGGCGUUGGUGGGAUACUACCCUAGCUGUGUUGGCUUUCUAACCCGCACCACUUAUCGUGGUGGGAGACAGUGUCAGGCGGGCAGUUUGACUGGGGCGGUCGCCUCCUAAAAGGUAACGGAGGCGCUCAAAGGUUCCCUCAGAAUGGUUGGAAAUCAUUCAUAGAGUGUAAAGGCAUAAGGGAGCUUGACUGCGAGACCUACAAGUCGAGCAGGGUCGAAAGACGGACUUAGUGAUCCGGUGGUUCCGCAUGGAAGGGCCAUCGCUCAACGGAUAAAAGCUACCCCGGGGAUAACAGGCUUAUCUCCCCCAAGAGUUCACAUCGACGGGGAGGUUUGGCACCUCGAUGUCGGCUCAUCGCAUCCUGGGGCUGUAGUCGGUCCCAAGGGUUGGGCUGUUCGCCCAUUAAAGCGGUACGCGAGCUGGGUUCAGAACGUCGUGAGACAGUUCGGUCCCUAUCCGUCGUGGGCGUAGGAAAUUUGAGAGGAGCUGUCCUUAGUACGAGAGGACCGGGAUGGACAUACCUCUGGUGUACCAGUUGUCGUGCCAACGGCAUAGCUGGGUAGCUAUGUAUGGACGGGAUAAGUGCUGAAAGCAUCUAAGCAUGAAGCCCCCCUCAAGAUGAGAUUUCCCAACUUCGGUUAUAAGAUCCCUCAGAGAUGAUGAGGUUAAUAGGUUCGAGGUGGAAGCGUGGUGACACGUGGAGCUGACGAAUACUAAUCGAUCGAAGACUUAAUCAA